rnacentral:rRNA from 1 species
AGAGUUUGAUCAUGGCUCAGGACGAACGCUGGCGGCGCGCUUAACACAUGCAAGUCGAGCGAGAACCUGGGCUUCGGCCCUGGGGACAGCGGCGAACGGGUGAGUAACACGUGGGUAAUCUGCCCUUGACAUCGGGAUAGCCCGGGGAAACCCGGAUUAAUACCGAAUAGCCUCCGGAGCCUUCGGGCGCCGGAGAAAAGGUAGCUUCGGCCUCUGGUCAAGGAUGAGCCCGCGGCGGAUUAGCUUGUUGGCGGGGUAACGGCCCACCAAGGCGACGAUCCGUAGCUGGUCUGAGAGGACGAUCAGCCACACUGGGACUGAGACACGGCCCAGACUCCUACGGGAGGCAGCAGUGGGGAAUCUUGCGCUAAUGCGGGAAACCGUGACGCAGCGACGCCGCGUGGGGGAAGAAGGCCUUCGGGUUGUAAACCUCUUUCAGGAGGGACGAAGCUACUCGGGUUAAUAGCCCAGAGGGUGACGGUACCUUCAGAAGAAGCCCCGGCUAACUACGUGCCAGCAGCCGCGGUA